rnacentral:rRNA from 1 species
UAGGGAAUCUUCCGCAAUGGGCGAAAGCCUGCCGGAGCAAUGCCGCGUGAGUGAUGAAGGUCUUCGGAUCGUAAAACUCUGUUAUUAGGGAAGAACAAAUGUGUAAGUAACUAUGCACGUCUUGACGGUACCUAAUCAGAAAGCCACGGCUAACUACGUGCCAGCAGCCGCGGUAAUACGUAGGUGGCAAGCGUUCUCCGGAAUUAUUUGGCGUAAAGCGCGCGUAGGCGGUUUUUUAAGUCUGAUGUGAAAGCCCACGGCUCAACCGUGGAGGGUCAUUGGAAACUGGAAAACUUGAGUGCAGAAGAGGAAAGUGGAAUUCCAUGUGUAGCGGUGAAAUGCGCAGAGAUAUGGAGGAACACCAGUGGCGAGGGCGACUUUCUGGUCUGUAACUGACGCUGAUGUGCGAAAGCGUGGGGAUCAAACAGG